rnacentral:lncRNA from 1 species
GAGUGAAGUCGUUUCCCCUUUCCUUAGGGUUCCGAUUGAGAAAUUGAAAGCCCCAAAGCCUCCUAUAUCGUGGGCGAGUCCAUCAGAUUAGGGCCUUGCCCUUGGCCAUAUUCUACUUGGUAGGACCCUUUUUAGGUUCAAUGGGCCUUCUUCCUCACUUGCUAGACUUCACAAGCACCCGACCCAUAUCAAACUCAUUGGGCCAAGCACGCUUGGGCUAGUCAAAGCCCAUCCCCCAUCGCAUCCACCACAGCAAACCGCAGCCUAGAAGAGCCCACACCCAUGCCUGUGCUCCC